rnacentral:rRNA from 1 species
AUGGUGGUGGCUACGGUGUCCCGCGUCAUCGGCCUCGUUCUCCCCGGCGCGCAGCUGUCCGGGUCGCUCCCCGCCGAGCUAGCCCGCGUCGAGCACCUGCGCCACCUCGACCUAUUUGGGAACGGCCUCAACGACACCCUCCCCGCCGCACAGCUGCUCAACGCCACCGAGCUGCACGUGCUCUCGCUCGCCGGCAAUGACCUCUCUGGCGCGCUCCCGGACGCGUUCUACGCGCGGGCGCUCGAGGAGCUCAACCUUUGUGAUAACGCGCUCGCGGGCUGGCUCCCCGCCGCGCUCCUCAGGGUGCCCGGGCUCGCCGUGCUGGGCCUCGCCAACAACUACCUCGCCGGCGAGCUCCCCGUUGGCGGGCUUGGCGGGCUGCAAGUCGUCGACCUGAGCAGCAACUACUUCAGGGGGCAACUCCUGGCGAACUUCGGCGGGGCGCAACUCAAGUUCCUGAAUGUCUCGUCCAACAGCCUCACCGGAUCCCCAGAGUUCGCGAUCCCUGGAGGAAAACAGUGGAGGCCCGCCCGCUCCCCCGCUCCCGCGACUAGGCGGGUGCUAGGGUUCCCCUCGUCCCCUCCCGUCGCCGCCAGCCCUCCCGCCGCCGCCGGCCGCCCGCCUCACGCCCCACCUCCGCCCCCCUUCCGCCCUCCCCCUUCGCCGUCCAGGUCCGCCUCGCGCCGCCUCCCCAGGAGGUGGCCUGGGCGGAGCUCGCGCUCCUCUCCCGCGGGGCCCCUCCUCCCCCGUCUUUCCCUGCCGCCGCCGGCGGGCGCCCCCGGCGCUGGCCCGGGUGAUGCCGGUAGCGGGGGCCUUCUCGUCCCCGCGCGCGUGUCCUCCCUUCCUUGGGCAGGAAGGCGGCGGCGGUGCAGCCCGGCUCGGCUGCGGUCCGGUUGCCCUGCGGCGGCGGCCGGCGGCAGGCGUGGUGACGGCGCCUCUCCUUGGCGGCGGGGCGGCGUGAUGGUGUUGGGUGGUCGUCGACGCGCCCCCGGCCCAGAUCUGGGCCCGACGGGCCCCAUCUGGGCCCUAGCGGGCCGGCCCCUCGGCGUGGUCUCGUUGUCUGCGGCGCGGUGA